GGAGGGUAAGCGAAUGGUUAGCGGCCUCACUGGAACUGAGGUGCCGGGAAACCGGUUGUGGGUUCGAGUCCCAUGCCCUCCG
rnacentral:tRNA from 1 species